rnacentral:rRNA from 1 species
UACGAAGGGGGCUAGCGUUGUUCGGAAUUACUGGGCGUAAAGCGCACGUAGGCGGACAUUUAAGUCAGGGGUGAAAUCCCAGAGCUCAACUCUGGAACUGCCUUUGAUACUGGGUGUCUUGAGUAUGGAAGAGGUGAGUGGAAUUCCGAGUGUAGAGGUGAAAUUCGUAGAUAUUCGGAAGAACACCAGUGGCGAAGGCGACUCACUGGACACGUAUUGACGCUGAGGUGCGAAAGCGUGGGGAGCAAACAGG